rnacentral:rRNA from 1 species
AGCGGCGAACGGGUGAGUAAUACAUCGGAACCUGUCUUUGGGUGGGGGAUAACUAUUCGAAAGAGUAGCUAAUACCGCAUACGCUCGGGAGAGGAAAGCGGGGGAUCGCAAGACCUCGCGCGCUUGGAGGGGCCGAUGUCCGAUUAGCUAGAUGGCGGGGUAAAGGCCCACCAUGGCGAUGAUCGGUAGCUGGUCUGAGAGGAUGAUCAGCCACACUGGGACUGAGACACGGCCCAGACUCCUACGGGAGGCAGCAGUGGGGAAUUUUGGACAAUGGGGGCAACCCUGAUCCAGCCAUUCCGCGUGAGUGAAGAUGGCCUUCGGGUAGUAAAGCUCUUUUGUCGGGGACGAAACGGUUUUGGCGAAUAGCCAAGGCUACUGACGGUACCCGAAGAAUAAGCACCGGCUAACUACGUGCCAGCAGCCGCGGUAAUACGUAGGGUGCGAGCGUUAAUCGGAAUUACUGGGCGUAAAGCGUGCGCAGGCGGUUGUGUAAGCCAGAUGUGAAAUCCCCGGGCUCAACCUGGGAAAGGCAUUUGG